rnacentral:rRNA from 1 species
GACAUAUGUGGCGAGCGUUACUCGGAAUCACUAGGCGUAAAGCGCGUGUAGGCGGGUGCUUAAGUCCGCUGUGAAAUCUCCCGGCUCAACUGGGAGGGGUCAGCGGAUACUGGGCGUCUAGAGUGGGGUAGGGGGCAGCGGAAUUCCGAGUGUAGAGGUGAAAUUCGUAGAUAUUCGGAAGAACACCAGUGGCGAAGGCGACUUACUGGACACAUAUUGACGCUGAGGUGCGAAAGCGUGGGGAGCAAACAGG